rnacentral:rRNA from 1 species
AAAUGAAUAGACGGGGGCCCGCACAAGCGGUGGAGCAUGUGGUUUAAUUCGAUGCAACGCGAAGAACCUUACCAGGGCUUGACAUCCCUCUGACCGGUGUAGAGAUACACCCUUCCCUUCGGGGACAGAGGUGACAGGUGGUGCAUGGUUGUCGUCAGCUCGUGUCGUGAGAUGUUGGGUUCAGUCCCGCAACGAGCGCAACCCUUGUCUUUAGUUGCCAGCACGUUAAGGUGGGCACUCUAAAGAGACAGCCGGUGAAAGCCGGAGGAAGGUGGGGACGAUGUCAAAUCAUCAUGCCCCUUAUGCCCUGGGCUACACACGUGCUACAAUGGCUGGUACAACGGGUCGCGAAACCGUGAGGUGGAGCCAAUCCCUAAAAGCCAGUCUCAGUUCGGAUCGCAGGCUGCAACUCGCCUGCGUGAAGCUGGAAUCGCUAGUAAUCGCGGAUCAGCAUGCCGCGGUGAAUACGUUCCCGGGCCUUGUACACACCGCCCGU